rnacentral:rRNA from 1 species
UACGGGAGGCAGCAGUGGGGAAUAUUGCACAAUGGGCGCAAGCCUGAUGCAGCCAUGCCGCGUGUAUGAAGAAGGCCUUUGGGUUGUAAAGUACUUUCAGUCGUGAGGAAGGUGUUAAGGUUAAUAACCUUAGCAAUUGACGUUAGCGACAGAAGAAGCACCGGCUAACUCCGUGCCAGCAGCCGCGGUAAUACGGAGGGUGCGAGCGUUAAUCGGAAUUACUGGGCGUAAAGGGCACGCAGGCGGUUAAUUAAGUUGGAUGUGAAAUCCCCGGGCUUAACCUGGGAAUGGCAUUCAAGACUGGUUAGCUAGAGUCUUGUAGAGGGGGUAGAAUUCCAUGUGUAGCGGUGAAAUGCGUAGAGAUGUGGAGGAAUACCGGUGGCGAAGGCGGCCCCUGGGACAAAGACUGACGCUCAUGUGCGAAAGCGUGGGGAGCAAACAGGGAUUAGAUACC